rnacentral:miRNA from 1 species
ACCCUCACCACCAUUAUCAACACU